rnacentral:lncRNA from 1 species
CACUAUGAUCAGUUAAGAACAAUUAACACCAGUAACACGCCCGCACAUCUAUAACGGUGGAAGAUCACUAGACUUAAUAUGUGUGAGGAGAUUUUAAUUUAGGUCUCAUUUAAUUAGUUAUUACAAUGACUAAUCUAAUUGGCAUGGACUAAAUUAAACCACCAAGCAACUUUAUUCAAGACACAAAUCUAUCAAAUUAGCUAGAUAAAUGGAGAU